rnacentral:rRNA from 1 species
UACGAAGGGGGCUAGCGUUGCUCGGAAUUACUGGGCGUAAAGCGCACGUAGGCGGCUUUGUAAGUUAGAGGUGAAAGCCCGGGGCUCAACUCCGGAACUGCCUUUAAGACUGCAUCGCUUGAAUCAUGGAGAGGUCAGUGGAAUUCCGAGUGUAGAGGUGAAAUUCGUAGAUAUUCGGAAGAACACCAGUGGCGAAGGCGACUGACUGGACAUGUAUUGACGCUGAGGUGGCGAAAGCGUGGGGAGCAAACAGG